rnacentral:rRNA from 1 species
GAUGAACGCUGGCGGCGUGCCUAAUACAUGCAAGUCGAGCGAACAGACGAGGAGCUUGCUCCUCUGACGUUAGCGGCGGACGGGUGAGUAACACGUGGAUAACCUACCUAUAAGACUGGGAUAACUUCGGGAAACCGGAGCUAAUACCGGAUAAUAUAUUGAACCGCAUGGUUCAAUAGUGAAAGACGGUUUUGCUGUCACUUAUAGAUGGAUCCGCGCCGCAUUAGCUAGUUGGUAAGGUAACGGCUUACCAAGGCAACGAUGCGUAGCCGACCUGAGAGGGAGAACGGCCACACCGGAACUGGAGAACGGUCCCGGAUCCUUAGGGAGGCAGCAGGAGGGAAUCUUCCGCAAUUGGCGAAAGCCUGACGGAGCAACGCCGGGGGGGUGGAGAAGGUCUUCGGAUCGGUAAACUCUGUUAUUAGGGAAGAACAAAUGUGUAAGUAACUAUGCACGUCUUGACGGUACCUAAUCAGAAAGCCACGGCUAACUACGUG